CCUACGGGUGGCAGCAGUGAGGAAUAUUGGUCAAUGGACGCAAGCCUGACCCAGCCAUGCCGCGUGCAGGAAGAAGGCUCUAUGAGUGUUAAACUGCUUUUGUACGAGGGUAAACGCAGAUACGCAUAUAUGUCUGACAGUAUCGUACGAAUAAGGAUCGGCUAAAUCCGUGCCAGCAGCCGCGGUAAUACGGAGGAUUCAAGCGUUAUCCGGAUUUAUUGGGUUUAAAGGGUGCGUAGGCGGUCGGAUAAGUUAGAGGUGAAAUCCCGAGGCUCAACUUCGGAAUUGCAUCUGAUACUGUUCGGCUAGAGAGUAGUUGCGGUAGGCGGAAUGUAUGGUGUAGCGGUGAAAUGCUUAGAGAUC
rnacentral:rRNA from 1 species